UCCCAGCUCGAGAGAUCGCUCUGUGCUCCGACAUCUUCAAAGCGUACCAUUUUUUUUCUCUGUCACCGCCUCUCUCUCUCUCUCUCUCUCUCACUCUCUCUCUCUCAAACUCAGCAGAAAAUUGAGCCGAAAGUGGUGAAUUGAUUCAGCGAAUCAAACUACUAACAAGUAGUCACAGAUCCAAACAAGAGCUGCGGCCCUGUUUCUAUAUUUGGUCGAUUUGUGGUAUUUUGGGUACUAAUUUCCGCAGGCAGAGACGGGGUAAGUAAGAAUCACUCUUUCAAUUCAAUUCCAGUCCCUCCACAUUUUCGUAGUUUGAUUUCGUUUCUUUGAUUAUGAUGCUACCUGGGAAUUUUUUUUUUUUUUGCUACUGGUUCGUUUAUAUGUAUAUAUUUCAACCUUUGUACACUAGUGUCAAAUUGAUGCAUUCUGGUCCCUACCAAGGUGAGAAUCUUUGUGAAUUGGACCGUAUGUCCAGCAACCCUACCAAGGUGAAAAGGAUAGAGGGAAGGAAAUAUGUGUAAUCAUUAAAUCAAUUUGCCUGAAACUUUGGUUUUUUAGAUUGGGGCACAGAUUUAUCAUGCAGUCAAAGAUAUGGCUACUUGAGAUGUUCACAUUGGUUUUAUUAAUUUGUAAUGUGUUAUAAUGCUAGCUGCUACUGCUAAUUUCUCUGUAAAACUAUGACCCAUAUAUAUUAAGCCACUCACUAGAGCUUGUCCUGAUUUUUGAAUUGAAAGCAUGAUAUGAUAAUUAAUGACCAUCCUAUUAUGUGUGCUGCAUUAUUCAUUCUUUCCCAUAGAAUAUGGGAAAUCAUUAGUGAAGAUCACAAAAUCCAUGUAAGUAAACACAACACUAUGCAUGGAUCGAGUUGUUAAGGCAUGCAAUGGCACCACUCAUCAGUUCCCUACACAUUUUAUACACAAUGGGAACAGGGAAUGUGUAGUUUGUUUUGUUGUUGAUUUGUUUAUGCUUGUACUUUUUCCUAAAGAGAACAUGUUCAACAAGUCCUGCAUCCCCAGAUAUCAAUAUAGAGGAGGAAGGGACCCAACUAGACUCCCACCGUGCCCUAUCAGGGACUGAUGGCAGUACCCAAAUUUGGGAUUAACCAUAUAGGAUGGUCAUUAAUUAUCAAAGCAUGCUUGAUGGACUGGAUUAACCAUAUAGCUAAUGAUAAAAGUACCUCAUUUGUUUUUGCAAAUGUUAUAGCUACUGCUGGACAUGGAGGCCUAAAAUUUUGGGACCUACGUGAUCCAUUCCGUCCCUUGUGGGACAUCGAUCAUAUACCAAGGUUCAUAUAUAGUCUGGAUUGGAUUCCAGAUCCAAGGUGUGUUCUUCUCUCCUUUGAUGAUGGAACAAUGAGACUUCUCAGCUUGACAAAGGCUGCCUCUGAUGCCCUGUAACAGGAAAACCCUUUGCUGGAACAAAACAACAGGGCCUGCACAAUCUUGGUUGUCUGCCUUUUGCUAUCUGGAAUGUUCAAGUAUCAAGACUAAAAACAACUUGCCUGAAACUCUUGUUUUCUUUGCUAGUACUUGUAUUCAUUGAAAUUGAAAUUGAGUGAACUUGGGUAUCAUAAUACCUGUAAGCAGUCCAAUUUACUUGAUUUGUUGAUGCAGCUCAAUAAUGUCUUCAAUUUUGCUUAUACUCAGUAUAUAAAGUUUCUAUUAAUAGAGACUUGAAAUGAUGUCCAGUAAACUUGAGUUA